rnacentral:rRNA from 1 species
UACGUAGGGUGCGAGCGUUAUCCGGAAUUAUUGGGCGUAAAGCGUCCGCAGGUGGCACUUCAAGUCUGUCGUCAAAGACCGGGGCUUAACCCUGGAAAGGCGAUGGAAACUGAAGCGCUAGAGUGCGGUAGGGGUAGAGGGAAUUCCCGGUGUAGCGGUGAAAUGCGUAGAGAUCGGGAAGAACAUCGGUGGCGAAAGCGCUCUACUGGACCGCAACUGACACUCAGGGACGAAAGCUAGGGGAGCAAACGGG